CUGUUUGCCGGUGGAGCAUCAUCAAGAUUCACAAGCUUUAGGGGCAUUAAUUUGUUUGAGGUGGUCCCUUAUUACUCCAAACCAAUUAGCCUUUGCGAUGGGAAUCUUGAUGAUGCUGCAGCAGCAAUAAA
rnacentral:pre_miRNA from 1 species